UGCUUUGAUCUUACUAUCUGUAGAAAGAGGUCAUUUGGUUUGCCCAAGAACCACAGUCAUUUAGAUGAUCCAUGUACAGCUCAUGCAAAUCUGUGGCAAUGAAAAACAGUUCCUGAACAUCUUCUUUCCAUCACUCACAUAAACCAACUUUCUUUGUUUCUCUCCCUGCAACAUUCUGCCUACAUUCAGAAGACAUUUAUGCUUGAGAAGGUUGAUGGAAACAACAUGAAGAAGAAUAAAUUAUGGAUCACCCUUAACCAAGAAGUUGGUUCCAGCUUGCGAGAGACACUGGAUUUGGCAAACCUAAAAAAGUACAAAUUGUGCUGGUGGAAAAGGAAAAGCCAUGUUCCUUCAUGGAAAGUUCUAGAAGUACAGUAACCAACCCUGGGAGUCAGUAAAGACAACUUCCAAGAAGGAUUGGCAACAUUUUCGCCCUUCUAAAUGGAGGCCUUGGGAGGUCUAACAACAUAACUCAAAAUGACAUGUUCCUAAGCCUUAUUAGGUCUCCAAAUAAAUAAAUAUAAAUG